rnacentral:rRNA from 1 species
UACGUAGGCAGCGAGCGUUGUUCGGAGUUACUGGGCGUAAAGAGUGCGUAGGCGGUUUUCUAAGUUUGGUGUGAAAUCUCCCGGCUUAACUGGGAGGUGCGCCGAAGACUGGAAGGCUUGAGUAUGGGAGAGGUAAGCGGAAUUCCUGGUGUAGCGGUGAAAUGCGUAGAUAUCAGGAGGAACACCUGCGGUGUAGACGGCUUACUGGACCAUAACUGACACUGAGGCACGAAAGCGUGGGGAUCAAACAGG